rnacentral:rRNA from 1 species
CCUACGGGCGGCAGCAGUGGGGAAUAUUGGACAAUGGGGGCAACCCUGAUCCAGCCAUGCCGCGUGUGUGAAGAAGGCCCUCGGGGUGUAAAGCACUUUCAGUGAGGAAGAACGCCUGGUGGUUAAUACCCAUCAGGAAAGACAUCACUCACAGAAGAAGCACCGGCUAACUCCGUGCCAGCAGCCGCGGUAAUACGGAGGGUGCGAGCGUUAAUCGGAAUUACUGGGCGUAAAGCGCGCGUAGGUGGCUUGAUAAGCCGGUUGUGAAAGCCCCGGGCUCAACCUGGGAACGGCAUCCGGAACUGUCAAGCUAGAGUGCAGGAGAGGAAGGUAGAAUUCCCGGUGUAGCGGUGAAAUGCGUAGAGAUCGGGAGGAAUACCAGUGGCGAAGGCGGCCUUCUGGACUGACACUGACACUGAGGUGCGAAAGCGUGGGUAGCAAACAGGAUUAGAUACCCUUGUAGUC